ensembl:lncRNA ZPLD2P zona pellucida like domain containing 2, pseudogene
AAAGCAGUUCCUGCCGGGCAGGCUGGGUAGCCGGACUCCCAGCUGCGCCGUCUUCACGGAAGCGGUGCUGAUGCGGGACCUGGGGGACUGCGGUGCUGGGGACUGGCCAGUCCUACCGGGGGCGGGGCUUGUGGAAGACUGGGCGGGAUUUUGAAGACCUAGGUCUUGUGGAUGGUGAACUCACUUGGGGCGGGGAGGGAGGUGGGGCUACCCUGGGGUCUUGGGCAAAGUCCUCGCCUGGCCGGCUUCGCUACCCUUGUGCUUGCGUUGCCCACAAGCUUGUAGUCAGAAGAACUCGCCUGGGAGGGAUCGCUCCUGGGAGAUCCGAACGCGGGAGGGCCUGGAGCGCGGCGGCAGCUGGAUAGCAUUCGGGCCCAUCCGAAUAAGCGCUACUUGAGAGGCUGAGGCAGAAGGAUCGCUUGAGACCAGGAGUUUGAGGGUGCAGUGAACUAUGAUGGCGCCACCACACUCCAGCCUGGGAGACAGAGUGAGACCCUGUCUCUAAAAGAAAAAAGAAAAUUCAAGAUACAGAGCCAGACAGGAGCCUGGAUGGCCAUCUUUCUUCUGAUAGCAAUAAGCUGGAUGCUGGGAUAGAAGCCUGAUACCUCCUCCAACCCUAGUCCUUGGCCUCUAGUUUACUCGCCUGAGGCAAGGGUAGAGUGGAGGAAGAUUUAGGGAAAGCAAGUAGUCCGUUUUAUUGUUACGGACCAGAGAGGUUGGGGGUGCAGAUGAAACCAACAUCUGGUAAGGAGUGUGGCUGAUCAGCCUUGGGCUCUGCUUCCUCAUCCCACCUUUGCUUCCUAUCUCUGGAACUCUUCUAGGGGGAGAUUGAGUUACUUAGUAUGGUAUGGGGAGGUGCAGAGGGUAUGGCUAAUAAACAGCCGGGAAUUCUA